UACGUAUCCUUUUAUACUUUGAAUGUAUUCCUUUAACAUCAAGAACUAGCAUGAGAAGUGACAACUUCUAGUUAUGUGAGAUUAUAUGUUAUAAUUUGAUAUGAGCUUGUGCUUUAGAUUAUUUGGCUCUAGUAACCGGUGGUGAGUGAUCCAGCCUUUGAACUAAAGAAUCGAAUAGCUUAAGCUUUCUCUUAACGCAAGUCUCUCUUAGAGAAUUCGGCUAACUGUUGGAAGUUGAAUUCUUAUAAAUCAAAAGAGACCUUGUAUAGGACUCUUACAAGUUCUUAAAAAAGGAGAAAACCAAACCCUUAUUCGACUAUGAAAUGAAAACCCAAAACACUAAACCGACUAAGUUGCUGCCGACUUCCUGCGGUUGUAAUUAAUACCAAAUCUGGUAUCAUAAUUUCGACUCCCUUUUGCUAGAGUGAAAUAAUGCUUUUUGGCUACUACUGACAGAUCACAUCUAUAUGCUUUGUACAGAGUGCAAACCUCAUUCGAGAAAACCUUUCUGUCGCAAAUAAUGCUUGUUGGGCCAUUGGAGAAUUAGCAGUUAAGGUUCGUGAAG